rnacentral:rRNA from 1 species
CAGCCGCCGCGGUAAUACGUAGGGUGCGAGCGUUAAUCGGAAUUACUGGGCGUAAAGCGUGCGCAGGCGGUUAUAUAAGACAGAUGUGAAAUCCCCGGGCUCAACCUGGGACCUGCAUUUGUGACUGUAUAGCUAGAGUACGGUAGAGGGGGAUGGAAUUCCGCGUGUAGCAGUGAAAUGCGUAGAUAUGCGGAGGAACACCGAUGGCGAAGGCAAUCCCCUGGACCUGUACUGACGCUCAUGCACGAAAGCGUGGGGAGCAAACAGGAUUAGAUACCCGGGUAGUCCCUGUCUCUUAUAC